rnacentral:rRNA from 1 species
UACGUAGGGGGCAAGCGUUGUCCGGAAUCAUUGGGCGUAAAGCGCGUGUAGGCGGCCAGAAAAGUCCGCUGUGAAAACUCGAGGCUCAACUUCGAGCUGUCGGUGGAAACUUUCUGGCUAGAGUCCGGAAGAGGAGAAUGGAAUUCCUGGUGUAGCGGUGAAAUGCGCAGAUAUCAGGAGGAACACCGGUGGCGAAGGCGGCUCUCUGGGCUUGUUCUGACGCUGAGGAGCGAAAGCGUGGGGAGCGAACAGG